CCUACGGGUGACAGCAGUGAGGAAUAUUGGUCAAUGGCCGUAAGGCUGAACCAGCCAAGUAGCGGGAGGGAAGAAUGCCCUAUGGGUUGUAAAACUCUUUUAUGCGGGGAUAAAGGUUUCCACGUGUGGAUGUUUGCAGGUACCGCAUGAAUAAGGACCGGCUAAUUCCGUGCCAGCAGCCGCGGUAAUACGGAAGGUCCGGGCGUUAUCCGGAUUUAUUGGGUUUAAAGGGAGCGUAGGCCGGUCUUUAAGCGUGCCGUGAAAUUUUGUGGCUCAACCAUGGGAGUGCGGCGCGAACUGGGGACCUUGAGUGCGCGAGAGGCAGGCGGAAUUCGUGGUGUAGCGGUGAAAUGCUUAGAUAUCACGCAGAACCCCGAUUGCGAAGGCAGCCUGCCGCAGCGUUACUGACGCUGAGGCUCGAAAGCGCGGGUAUCGAACAGGAUUAGAUACCCCAGUAGUC
rnacentral:rRNA from 1 species